rnacentral:rRNA from 1 species
AUUGAACGCUGGCGGCAUGCCUUACACAUGCAAGUCGAACGGCAGCACGGGAGCAAUCCUGGUGGCGAGUGGCGAACGGGUGAGUAAUAUAUCGGAACGUGCCCAGUCGUGGGGGAUAACGUAGCGAAAGCUACGCUAAUACCGCAUACGAUCUAUGGAUGAAAGCGGGGGAUCGCAAGACCUCGCGCGAUUGGAGCGGCCGAUAUCAGAUUAGGGAGUUGGUGGGGUAAAAGCCUACCAAGCCGACGAUCUGUAGCUGGUCUGAGAGGACGACCAGCCACACUGGGACUGAGACACGGCCCAGACUCCUACGGGAGGCAGCAGUGGGGAAUUUUGGACAAUGGGCGCAAGCCUGAUCCAGCAAUGCCGCAUGCAGGAUGAAGGCCUUCGGGUUGUAAACUGCUUUUGUACGGAGCGAAAAGGCUCUCUCUAAUACAGGGGGCUCAUGACGGUACCGUAAGAAUAAGCACCGGCUAACUACGUGCCAGCAGCCGCAGUAA